GAAAGCGGCGGACGGGUGAGUAACGCGUAGGCAACCUGCCUCACGGAGAGGGACAGCCUCGGGAAACCGGGAUUAAGACCUCAUGUUGCGGUAAGAUCACAUGAUAUUGCCGUGAAAGAUUUAUCGCCGUGAGAUGGGCCUGCGUCUGAUUAUGUUAGUUGGUGAGGUAACGGCUCACCAAGACUACGAUCAGUAGCCGACCUGAGAGGGUAAUCGGCCACAUUGGAACUGAGACACGGUCCAAACCCCUACGGGAGGCAGCAGUGGGGAAUAUUGCACAAUGGGGGAAACCCUGAUGCAGCAACGCCGCGUGAGUGAUGACGGCCCUAUGGGUUGUAAAGCUCUGAUCUGAGGGAAGAAUAAAUGACGGUACCUCAGGAGAAAGCCCCGGCUAACUACGUGCCAGCAGCCGCGGUAAUACGUAGGGGGCAAGCGUUAUCCGGAUUUAUUGGGCGUAAAGAGUGCGUAGGUGGUUAUCUAAGCGAGAGGUGAAAGGCAUCGGCUCAACCGGUGUAAGCCUUUCGAACUGGGUGACUUGAGUGCAGGAGAGGAAAGCGGAACUCCUAGUGUAGCGGUGAAAUG
rnacentral:rRNA from 1 species